rnacentral:piRNA from 1 species
UGACAAAAUCUCUCUGUCAUGGUUACC